CAUUUAAAGAAAGCGUAAUAGCUCACUGGUCGAGUCGGCCUGCGCGGAAGAUGUAACGGGGCUAAACCAUGCACCGAAGCUGCGGCAGCGACACUGUGUGUUGUUGGGUAGGGGAGCGUUCUGUAAGCCUGCGAAGGUGGCCUGUGAGGGUUGCUGGAGGUAUCAGAAGUGCGAAUGCUGACAUAAGUAACGAUAAAGCGGGUGAAAAGCCCGCUCGCCGGAAGACCAAGGGUUCCUGUCCAACGUUAAUCGGGGCAGGGUGAGUCGACCCCUAAGGCGAGGCCGAAAGGCGUAGUCGAUGGGAAACGGGUUAAUAUUCCCGUACUUGGUGUUACUGCGAAGGGGGGACGGAGAAGGCUAUGUUGGCCGGGCGACGGUUGUCCCGGUUUAAGCGUGUAGGUGUGUGUUCCAGGUAAAUCCGGUUCACUUUAACACUGAGGCGUGACGACGAGGCACUACGGUGCUGAAGCAACAAAUGCCCUGCUUCCAGGAAAAGCCUCUAAGCAUCAGGUAACAUCAAAUCGUACCCCAAACCGA
rnacentral:rRNA from 1 species